rnacentral:rRNA from 1 species
AGUCACUGACAUUAGAUACCCCGGUAGUCCAGGGUGUAAACGCUGCAGACUUGGUGUUGGGAACCCUUCGGGGGUGCUCAGUGCCGGAGAGAAGUUGUUAAGUCUGCUACUUGGGGAGUACGUCCGCAAGGAUGAAACUUAAAGGAAUUGGCGGGGGAGCACCGCAACGGGAGGAGCGUGCGGUUUAAUUGGAUUCAACGCCGAAAAACUCACCAGCAGCGACUGUUACAUGAAAGUCAGGUUGAUGACCUUACUAGAUUUUUCAG